ACACAGAUCAAAGCCUUAGUAGUUGCAGUAUUGGGUUAGUUAAAAUAUGCUUCUUUAAAAUAUCUAGAAAACCUCCAGACAGCCCAAUCAGAGGAAUGACCCCAACUACGAAUCACCCUAUAUAUUUAAUCCAACGAGAAAGUAAAACCUUCUCUAAAUUGUUAGAGCCUAUCUCUCUCCAGCCACUAAAGGUGUAUUAAAUUUCGAACAAAAGUAUUUUGAGGAUGAAAAGGGUUUUACUCCUGGUAGACGAUGCACGGAUAAUUUAUAGAUUGUUCAGCAACUGACAUAAAAACGAACAGCUAGAGGUGAGGAUACACAUAUGAUGAACAAGAAUUUCAUAUAGGUUACCUGAUCAUAUACCUCAUAAAAGAACGAUAUUCAGAUAAUAGAGCAAUUUGUCUAUGCCUGUUUGUCCAAGAUAAUCCAGCAUAAUCCCGCAAAACUGGCAGAUGUCGGCGUUUGUUACCCUACCGAAAAAAGCACAUACAAGCAAGCAAUGCAGCGACUAUCGCACAAUCAGUCUGAUGAGCUACACACUGAAGAUUUUCCUCAAAAUUUUCCAUAAUAGAAUACAGAAAAGACUUGAGGAAGAGAUCGGAGCCACACAAUUUGGGUUUCGCAGUGGGUGCGGAACUCGAGAAGCACUUGUUGCUUUUAAUACCUCAGUUCAGAAGAGUUUAGAUGUAAACCAGGAUACAUAUGCAUGUUUUAUAGACUAUUAUAAAGCAUUCUUUGUAAAAACAGCUUGUUACCCGGUUCAAAUCAAAAAAUGAGUUCGGAAAGGUUGCGUGAUGUCGCCAUUACAAUUUAACAUUUACUCGGAAGAGAUUAUGAAAAAAGCGCGAAGCGAAGAAGAGAUAGGUAUAAAAAUAAACGACCUAUAUAUAAUAUUAGGUAUUCUUAUCGGAGGCUGCUUGGAGUCUCGUGGAUGAACAAAGUGACGGUCGUUGAAGUCAUGCGGAGAAUCGAUAAAGAAGCGGAAGUGGUACUAACCAUCAAACGACUAAAACUGGAGUAAUUAGGCCACGUCAGGAGAGGGGAGAGUAUCUGCUGCAGCUUAUUAUGCAGGGCGGAAUCCAAGGAAAGAGAAGAGCCGGUCGCCGACGCAUAAUUUUUUUUCUGAGAAACCUGAGAGACUGGUAUAGAAGCAGAUUAAUCCGGUUGUUUAAAACAGCGGAUUCAAAGGUAAGGAUUUUAAUGAUGAUUGCCAAACUCCAAAACGGAGAAGGCACACCAAGAAGCAGAAGUUUGUCCAACCAAUGCACUGAGACAAGAAUCUAUCUAUCUAUAUCCUCUACUUUUUUAUAUGUACCUCGAGCGAGUCUAUUGAUGACGUAAGGAUAUACGAAAAAUAGAAACCGUAAAAAUUGACUAUCUGUAAUCUGUAUCUAAAUUUUACCCAAGUGGAGGCACGUGUCUUAAUGUUUGAUUUGCAAACUUUUGCUGCUCUAGCCGACUUCAAAAUUUAGCUUAAUAGCAAAAUUCAAAGCGCAUUUUGCGACGCAAAUGUUUUGUAAUGUUGUAAAGAAAGCCAUUUGUGAAUCGACCUGUUGAUCUUAUUCCCUAUACUUGACUUAGUAGUAGAUAAAUAAAAUGUGUAUAUUGUGGGUUUAAAGCGAAAAGUGACCAAGUCCAAAAGUGUCAUAUUUGUGUUUGUUGACAAAGUAAUUUAAAAAACAGUAUAUUUUUCUUAAAAACUGACGAAGUCCCUCCAGGCCACUGAAAUAGGUGCACUAAAAGAUGUUUUUUGGCAUUUCCAAAAGGAUUCUGAUUUCAGAGUUUUGGUUCGCUUUAAAAGGGUAUUUACCAAAAAUGUAUAUUUUAGACUUGAUCAGAUUUCCCUUUAAGCCCACGAUGUUUCAGUAACUGUAGUCUAUCCUCUACAGUUAAUAGAUGCAAUCGGCCACUACUCAUAAUACAGACUGCCUUUUGUUUAUUUUUGUGGUCUCAUGGAUUUAACAUUCUUUUAACGUCUUUGGUACCUACUAAAACUUAGUCGAAUUACCGUUUUUCAGUUCACCGCGUUGAACUUUUACGUUUCAACUUAAAUUUAAUAUUAAAGUAGUACAUAUGUACUUACUAUAAAAGAAAGCGAUUGGUAAAGAAAAAAGCAAAAAAUGUGAGUCAGUUGUUUAUUGAAAAGUUCAGACAAAUUAAAUAUUAUAUCAGAUAAUAUACAGUGCGCGACAUUUGAUUACUCUCACCUUAUGAUUUAGACUAAUUUUAACUAGUGCGGCAAAUUUUCAUUAGUAACCUACAUCAAACACUAGAUUAAAGAUUUAAAAAAUAUUUAUUUAAUAAUUUGUUUUACACUUUCGUAUUCUGCAAUUGAUUUCUGUUUGUAAAGUAAAUAUUGUAAUUUUUAGUGCGACACUUGAUUACUCGCAUAUUUUCGAAUUAACCUAGAACACAACAUUUAAACCUAAUACUUAUUUUAAUAUUUGGUAUACCCUCCCUGCUUCUCAAUGACUGCUAACAUUCGAUGAGGCAAUGAAUUGAAUACAGUUUCUAUUAGAUUCACUGGAACUUCCACUCAGGCGGCUCUAACAGCGGCAAUUAAUUCUCCUCUAUUAUUAAACUGUCUUCAUUUAGUAUAAAUGCGUUUGAACAACCAACCCAAUAAGUUUUCUAUGAGAUUUAAGUCUGGGGAAAUAGCAGGCCAGUCCAGAACUGAAAUAUUAUUAGCAGUCAACCAGGUUUGGAUUAUUUGGGCGGUGUGAAUUGGCGCAUUGUCUUGUUGCAAUAUCCAUUCUUAAUCCGGAAAUAAAUCUGUUAUGUUAGGAAUUUGCCGUUGUAGUAGCUCCAAAUGCUUUUGAGCAGUUCCGACCUUCUAGAAAAUCGAUGCCAACUUUGCCUUGACUUGAAAUUGCUGCUCCAAUCACUACUGAACUUGCCCGACUGUGACGGCGAGCCAAAAAUUGCUCUUCCAUCCUUACGUCAUGAAAGUAAUAUUGGAAACCAUCAGGUCUAUCCAGGUUGAACCUUUUUUGAUCCGUGAAAACGACAUUUUUCCAUUCCUCUGUCCAGUUACGGUGAAUGCGUGAAAACUCUAAACGUUCUUGUCGAUGACGUGCAAGCAGCAAAGGCUUCUUGCGUGGUUUUCUUCUUUUUAAGUUUGGACAUUUCUUUAUUACGCUUUGGAUAGUGCGUAUGGACGCAUUACUUCCACUGCGAUCCCCUAUUUCUCUAGCUGUUGGCGAUAUUGGAUGCAAGUCGAAAAAUUAGGCGACGUUCCCUUAGUGUUGUUGCAGUUGAAGUGCGUCCUUGUCGAUUGUUUCCAUAGUUUUCGCUGUCUUUUAAAUAAGCAUUGAUUACCCACGAGCUGCGCCCGAUUUGUCUUGCAAUUUAUCGUUUUGAAUAAAUCUCCUCUCAAUAAGCUUGAAUUCGCCCUCUUUCUAAUAAAAAGAAAAAGUUUUACCGCGUCCCAUAUCAAUACCAAUCACUUUUAGAACACUCAAAUAUACUCAAAUUACUAUUAGACAAUUGUAAAUCCGUUGUCAAGUGACAUGAUUUUGUUUCGUCUACUUGCCUAGCGAAAUACGAUUCUAAAAAAUGAAUGAGAGUAAUCAAGUGUCGCACUAUCAAUUAUUAUAGUUGCUUCUAACAAUUUCUCCAUUGUGAAGAACGAGUGAAUUAAACAAAUUGUUGGACGAAUACUAUUAAAACAUUGUAUUCAAUGAUACAUGUGGGUUCCUUAUCAAAAUUUUGGCUAUUAACAAAAAUGAGUUCAAAUCUGUUGGUGAGAGUAAUCAAGUGUCGCGGACUAUAUGUUAUAUGUAGUAAUUUAUAUAAGAUCUCCCAUCGCCAGUUCAUAACCAAAGCUAACUCGCUUCCAUACCACGUGCCAAUAGAUAACUUUUCUACAUUAUCAAACCGUGACUUAGAGGAUGAAAUUCUAAUAAAAUAUCUCGCUCGAUGCACUAUAUAAGUUGCCACGAGUCAAUAUUUUCUCUAUUAUACUUGUUUGCUAAAGCUCCGUCAGGGUAAAAAUUUAAGUUUCGCCUUUUUUAACUAUUUAUGUAUCGAACUUGAUAAAUUAUGUUUGGAGAAGUUUAACACAUUUUUUUGGGAAACCCGAUGAAAAAUUGAAACCUUAUUACGCAGUUCGCGAUAGGAACAGGAUCGAAGUUUCCAAGGCAGUUUAAAUAAAUUUGAAUUAUUAAAUUCAUAGAGAGUUUUCAACUUUUCACUCCAAAAGUUUUUGACAAACUGGGCGUUUAUGUUGCGUUUCCAGUGUCACGUGACAUUUGAAUUCCAAUUUCAAAUGUAAGACAAGAAUUGGGCCUGUUUAUAGCGAUAAUGAAGUGGAAGAAAUUUGCUACAUGUUUACUAAAAAUAUCUAGUUAUUUGCAUUGCAUUAGUUUGCAGAUAAAAAUAGAUUGAAGCAGGCAUUUCCCUAUAGUUAUUUAAUUUUGUAAAUGGUUCCGUUAUUAAAUCUGCUUUUUCUUUUA